rnacentral:rRNA from 1 species
AACGAACGCUGGCGGCAUGCCUAACACAUGCAAGUCGAACGAGACCUUCGGGUCUAGUGGCGCACGGGUGCGUAACGCGUGGGAACCUGCCCUUAGGUUCGGAAUAACUCCCCGAAAGGGGUGCUAAUACCGGAUAAUGUCUUCGGACCAAAGAUUUAUCGCCUUUGGAUGGGCCCGCGUUGGAUUAGCUAGUUGGUAGGGUAAAAGCCUACCAAGGCGACGAUCCAUAGCUGGUCAGAGAGAAUGAUCAGCCACACUGGGACUGAGACACGGCCCAGACUCCUACGGGAGGCAGCAGUGGGGAAUAUUGGACAAUGGGCGAAAGCAUGAACCAGCAAUGCCGCGUGAGUGAUGAAGGCCUUAGGGUUGUAAAGCUCUUUUACCCGGGAUGAUAAUGACAGUACCGGGAGAAUAAGCUACGGCUAACUCCGUG